AUUUCCCCCUUCGCUCUUACUAAAAAGGGGAUCUCCUUUUUUGUCUUUUCCUAGGAGAGGGGACGCCAAUGGGGGAAGGGGUCCUUUAGUCAGACUAAAAAGUGGAGCUUAUCCGAAUCAGUGAUCCGUGGCCCUCGGAUGUAAUCUGAGAGUCGCUCAAACGAGAGUGGCCAAUCGGGCGUGAGAACGGCCGUGACGUCAUCCACCAAAAGGAAGAAGUAAUGAAGAUAUCAUUAAUCACGCUCUUAAAUACAAGACUCGAUAGAGGAAAGACAAGUAUUUUUUAAAGAAAUUGAAAAGAAUAGUAAAUCGGGAAUUAGGACUCAAUAUAAGGAUUAUGGGACACAGACCUCUUUCUGCUCGGAAAGCACCAAGAGGUGGACUCAAUAUAGGUUUGUAAUUACGUUAAAGAAGAAAGAAGAGUAGAUCAUGUAGGAAAAAUUUCUCAACCAGUAGAUCGCGAUUCCCUUAAAUAAAAUCACUUGUAUCACAGCGUAUUUAAGAUUGAAAACUUAAGUUAUAUUUGUUAUUUAAUAAAAGUUAUUUAUUUAUUUAUUUAUCUUUUG